AGUACCAGCCCGGAGCCGGAUAGACCUGCUGAGUGGCUAGACCCAGAAGACAGAUAACAAUCACUGUAGCUCAGUUCACUGGAAGCCACAUCCAUAGGAAAAGGGGAAGAGUACUACAUCAAAGGAAUACCUUAUAGGACAAAAGAAUCUGAACAGCAGCCUUCAGCCCUAGACCUUCCCUCUGACAGAGGCUACCCACGUGAGAAAGAACCAGAAAACCAAUCCUGGUAAUAUGCAAAAUGAGGCUCUUCAACACCCUCCAAAAUCACACUAGUUCACCUGCAAUGGAUCCAAACCAAAAAGAAAUCCCUGAUUUACCUGAAAAAGAAUUCAGGAGGUUAGUUAUUAAGCUAAUCAGGGAGGCACCAGAGGAAGGUGAAGCCCAAUGCAAGGAAACCCAAGAAACGAUACAAGAAGUGAAAGGAGAAACAUUCAAGGAAAUAGAUGGCUUACAGAAAAAAUAAAAAAUUCAGGAAACUUUGGACACACUUUUAGAAAUGUAAAAUGCUCUGGAAAGUCUCAGCAAUAGAAAUGAACAAGUAGAAGAAAGAAAUUCAGAGCUUGAAGACAAGGUCUUUGAAUUAAUCCAACAAAGACAAAAAAAAAAAAAAAAGAGAAAAUAUGAACGAAGUCUCCAAGAAGUCUGGGAUCAUGUUAAGCGACCAAACCUAAGACUAAUUGGCGUUCCUGAGGAAGAAGAUAAUUCUGAAAGUUUGGAAAACAUAUCUGGGGGAAUAAUCGAGGAAAACUUCCCUGGCCUUGCUAGAGACCUAGACAUCCAAAUACAAGAAGCACAAAGAACACCUGGGAAAUUCAUCACAAAAAGAUCAUCAGCUAGGCACAUUGUCAUCAAGUUAUCCAAAGUUAAGACAAAGGCAAGAAUCUGAAGAGCUGUGAGACAGAAGCACCAGGUAACCUAUAAAGGAAAAUUUAUCAGAUUAACGGCAGAUUUCUCAGCAGAAACCCUACAAGCUAGAAGAGACUGGGGCUGUAUCUUCAGCCUCCUCAUACAAAACAAUUAACAGCCCAGGAUUUUGUAUCCAGUGAAACUAAGCAUCAUAUAUGAAGGAAAGAUACAGUCUUUUUCAAACAAACAAAUGCUGAGAAAAUUCGCCACUACAAAAUCACUACUACAAGAACUGCUAAAAGGAGCUCUAAAUCUUGAAAAAAAUCCUGGAGACACAUCAAAACAGAACCUCUUUAAAGCAUAAAUCUCACAGGACCUAUAAAACAAAAAUACAAGUUAAAAAGCAAAAACAAAACAAAAACACCAAAGCAUAUAGGCAACAAAGAGCAUGAUGAAUGCAAUUGUACCUCCCAUUUCAAUACUAACAUUGGAUGUAAA
rnacentral:lncRNA from 10 species